ACAGUCACUGACAUUAGAUACCCCUGUAGUCCAGGGUGUAAACGCUGCAGACUUGGUGUUGGGAACCCUUCGGGGGUGCUCAGUGCCGGAGAGAAGUUGUUAAGUCUGCUACUUGGGGAGUACGUCCGCAAGGAUGAAACUUAAAGGAAUUGGCGGGGGAGCACCGCAACGGGAGGAGCGUGCGGUUUAAUUGGAUUCAACGCCGAAAAACUCACCAGCAGCGACUGUUACAUGAAAGUCAGGUUGAUGACCUUACUAGAUUUUCAG
rnacentral:rRNA from 1 species